CGUACACUCCUACGGGAGGCAGCAGUGGGGAAUAUUGCACAAUGGGCGCAAGCCUGAUGCAGCCAUGCCGCGUGUAUGAAGAAGGCCUUCGGGUUGUAAAGUACUUUCAGCGGGGAGGAAGGCGAUAAGGUUAAUAACCUUGUUGAUUGACGUUACCCGCAGAAGAAGCACCGGCUAACUCCGUGCCAGCAGCCGCGGUAAUACGGAGGGUGCAAGCGUUAAUCGGAAUUACUGGGCGUAAAGCGCACGCAGGCGGUCUGUCAAGUCGGAUGUGAAAUCCCCGGGCUCAACCUGGGAACUGCAUUCGAAACUGGCAGGCUAGAGUCUUGUAGAGGGGGGUAGAAUUCCAGGUGUAGCGGUGAAAUGCGUAGAGAUCUGGAGGAAUACCGGUGGCGAAGGCGGCCCCCUGGACAAAGACUGACGCUCAGGUGCGAAAGCGUGGGGAGCAAACAGGAUUAGAAACCCUGGUAGUCCCAU
rnacentral:rRNA from 1 species